GCUGGGCACAGUGGUGUACACCUGUAAUCCCAGUGAUUUGGGAGGCUGAGGCAGGAGGAUUGCAGGAGGCCAACUCAGCAACUUAGUGAGACCCUGUCUCAA
rnacentral:sRNA from 1 species